rnacentral:lncRNA from 10 species
CCUAUAAGAAAAUGAGGAACCAGAGAGAGAUGAAAAUUUUCCCAAUGUCCUAAGAUUAUCACACUGCAUCAUAACUGCCCAGUAAUUUUUCCAUCUCCCUCAUUAACCUCUAGAAGCCAUAUGAAUUUUCUUGCCUCUCGGCUGGACUCUAUAUUUCGCAGGUGGUUGGAAAUCCCGGACCCCCGGUCCACCAGCCUUGGCCUCCUGCAGAUGCUAGGCUCAGGAUGAAGUGCGGCCGAAGACUGCUGGGAAAAGAAAAGAAAGAGCCCUAAUGUGCCAUAUCGGGCAAGCCGUGGGGUGGCCCACUAACUGCUUUUUUAUGAUUGUCACUUACUGGCUCUGAUUUAACCCCACUUAAAGAGUGGUGGCAGCAAUUGUGGAGGGCCUCAAAGGGAGACUGAUGCAAGUGAGGGCAAAGUAUUAUUGGGAACGAGGUCAAAUGGGUGAUGAAUGGGCCAUUAUGAGGAGGGGCAAACUGCCAUCGUUAGGGAUGCUGCAACAAGCUGGACGUUGAUCUAUUGUCCGCUCUGAGAUCCUCCAACAGGCCAUUAUGGCUCCCCUAAUGAGAUUGUCAUGCAUUUCUUUUUAUGUAGCUAUUAAA